GAUUAUAUAAAGAGUUAUUUUUAUUUUUAUAAUAUAUUUGAUUAGUAUUAUGAGUGAAGGUUGAGGUUAUUUUAUAGAGUAGUUAGUACUGUUUAGGAAGUGUGGUUAAUUGUUAGGAAUAUUAGGUUAUUUAUUACCUUUUGUAUUAGGGUUUUUUAAUUUAAUUAAAUAUUAAUUUUGUCUUGAUGAAUAUCGGGCUAUUAUUUAAGUGUGGGUUUUGUUGCAUAAAAUUAUUUAUUAUUUAAUAGUUAUGAAAUAUUAUUCAAGUUAUUUUUUAUCUAGUUUUCUAAGGAGUAUAAUAGUAGAUAUUUAUAUUAUAAAGGUAGGUGGGGAUUAGCUUAUUUAUUGUUUAUAUGUUUUUGUUGGUAUUGUUUAUUAGUGAAGUUGAAAGUUCUUAGUUUGAUGGUGUUAUUAGAAAUUAAGUUUUUUUGUUAAUUUUUAAGAUUUAUGUGUGAAUUGGAAAUUUUAUUUUAAUUUUUAUUUUAAUGAUAUAAUGAUAAAAUUAGUAAUAGUAUUUAUUUAUUUGUUUUGAUAUUAAAUUGUUUAAAAUAAUAGGUUAUAUUUUAUAUUAAGAGUGAAGAAUUCGGCAAAAUUAGCUUUUGACUGUUUAGCAAAAACAUUGUUUUUUGUUAGAAUAAAAAAUAAUUUCUGUCCACUGUCAGUAUGAUGAAGGGCUGCAGUAUUUUGACUGUAUGAAGGUAGCAUAAUCAUUAGCUUUUUAAUUGGAAGCUGGUAUGAAGGUAUAACAGAGGCUGGCUAUUUUAUUCUUAUUUGGUGAAUUUUAUUUUUAUGUGAAAAAUCAUAAGUGGAUUAAAGGGACAAGAAGACCCUAAUAAAUUUAAUUUUUUGUUAUAAUGCAUAUAUAGGUUAUUUAUUUAUAUAAUUUAUAAUUAAAGAGUUUGACUGGGGCGGUAUGUAAAAAAACAUUAUUUAUUAUUUAAUUUUUGAUAGCGUAAUUAAGACCUAAGAUGAUUAGGUGGGUGUUAAAUUACUGUAGGGAUAACAGCGUAAUUUUUUUUAAGAGUUCUUAUUGACAGAAAAGUUUGCGACCUCGAU
rnacentral:rRNA from 1 species